UCUUUAAUUGGGGACUUGUAUCAACGGCAUCACGAGGGUUGCACUGUCUCCUCCCCCCAAUCGGUGAAACUGAUCUCCCCGUGAAGAAGCGGGGAUACCCCUAUAAGACGAGAAGACCCCAUGGAGCUUUAAAUUUUGCUGCAGCUCUGCCAUGUAGUUCCAGAGUCCGCGGAGCAUGCACGUCAAUUUUCGGUUGGGGUGACCGCGGAGUAAAAUCUAACCUCCGCGACGGAAAGAACUAAAUCUUUAUCUAAGAGCCACUACUCUAAGAAUUAGCACACUAACGUACAAUGACCCGAUAACAGAUCAACGAACCAAGUUACCCUGGGGAUAACAGCGCAAUCUACUUCGAGAGCCCAUAUCGACAAGUAGGUUUACGACCUCGAUGUUGGAUCAGGGCAUCCCAGUGGUGCAGCCGCUACUAAAGGUUC
rnacentral:rRNA from 1 species